UUGCUCAUAGUGGGUGUGUGAUAAAUUGAGGAUUAAAUGAGCUUCAGUCGUACCAAAGAUUGUUGCUUGCUAGAGUCAGAGCUUCCACCCGGAGCAGAGAAUGUAAGUACAUCACAGCUUGGAUGUUUUGUUUUCCCUUUCAUGUAAUGUGCAUUGGUAAAUAAAUUCUAACAUGUUAGUUUUGUUUUUCACCUACAUACUAAUCACAUUCUAACCAGUAUAUAUUGAAUUCCUAUAUUAAGUAGGGAACAAAAAACCCCUCUGACUUCUAAUACUUCAAGAAGACCAGGUUAGAUUUCUAGCUCUUUAGUCUGCGAGACUUUCUCGAAAGUAGUGUUGUCCAAUAGAAAUUUAUGAGGUGAUGGAAAUGUUCUGUAACAUCUGUGCUGUCCAAUAUGGUAGCCACUAGCUACAUGUGGUGAUUGAGCUCGUGAAGUGUGACUAGUGUGACUGAGAAGCUGAAUUUAAAAUUCUGUUUAAUCGCAAUUACUUUACAUUUCAAUACAAAUACCCACCCAUGGCUAGUAGCUACCAUAUUGGACAGUGCAGCUCUAGAGGGUUAUGAACAAUGCGAUUCAUUGGGGAGGGUUUAACUAAAUGAAUCAAUACAUCAGUUAUAAUACAUGAUGAAGGCUCAAGUUUGGACAAUAUUAUAGUCCACUCUCCUAGCAGCAAAUUUAUAGACCAUGUUUAGCUGCAUGCAAACUUGAAAAAGGAAAUCAACACACAGCAAUGCAAUGAAUUGAAAAGGCAAUUUCAAAGGAAAUGGAAAUAACAUUUCAGUUUUUAAAAAGAGCUAUGCUAAAUUGAAGACAGGAGGGAAGGAAAUUAUUUCAAAGGUGGAAAGAGCCAAGAAUCCACAGUAACACAUCUCCCUUUCUCUCGCUGAGCUAGAGAACAGAAGCAGAACAAAAGAGAGAAAUUAAGAAGACCUGUGGGUAUGCCAGAGAUCUCACUGUUUCACUGUGUGCACGUAUUUAUUUGGGUAGGGAGAAGUAGAUAUGAGCCAACAGGGCCCUGUGGUUUAAAACAUGAGUACCACCGUUAUCCCCCAAACCUCCAGAAAUGGCAAAUUGGACUAUUUACUUUGUAGCAUGACAGGGCAAACGUUUCAAAUGAUCUACUGACUAUGGUCAGCGCUCCAAAGUUACUGUUCUAAUGCUGGUUAAAAAAUAAAAACACAAACGAAAACAUCCUAGAAUCUCAUUCUGUAAUUCUUCGUGGCAGGUUAUGAAUAUAAAUUCUUUGACGAGAAGAUGAAAUUAUACCCCCAGGAUGCAAAUUACAUUACGUGUCCCUGAAAUACUCAUUUUGUGUUAGUUUAGGAAGUGCCUGCGUCUAUUUCUGUCUAGCACAUAUUUAUAUUAUUUCAGUGUUGAUGGUGAUCUUUCACAUGCAGUUCUUACAACUUAUUUUCACUUGUGUAGAGAUGAUCUGGUGACUUUUUGCAUAUUUAUAUGUUGGGCUUCAAACAGAUGAAUAUUUCAACAUGUGUUUCUAGCUGCAAAGGGGAAAAACGCAGAUUUUAUUGUUAUACUUUAAUAUGUAUUGGUAACAUUUUAUUGUUGCUUGAAUCAUUAAGCAUUAGAAAAAUCUCAUUAUUUGGCUACUUCUUUAUGAAAGUGCACAGAGCUUAUCCUAAAAGCACAUAAAAUUUUCUGGAUGGGCUAAAAAAUAAUUCAACAUAUGCCUUGCUUCCAAAAGGAUAAACAGCUUGGGGAUAGCAGUGAUGUGUGUUUGGAAUUUCUUCUUAGCUUGUGGAAUAAAAGGAGUGACACCUGUUAAGCACUGGGAGGCACUGAGGAGGAGGACCAAAGUUACCCAGCUGAGAGCAAGUUACCUGAUGGGAUAGUGCAUUUGAGUUUUACUUGUGUUUUGAAACCAGCGUUUCCUUAAAAAAAAAAAUCACAGCAAUAUGUGAAUAUUAAAGAAAACUAUAGCACUGGAAAUUAACUCUCGCUACUAUUUUGGCUAACUUCUUUUAAAUAUUUUUCUGUUUUUAGCCUUAUUUUACGUGUCUGUAAUCAUACAUUUUCAAUUUAUUGUUUCACUUAGUGUUGAAAGACUAGCGUGCCUCCAAUUGCUUUAUAAUUUUAGAAACAUUAUUUUCUUAAUGCUUAUACACUAGUCACUAAAAUCCACAAUGACUGAGUGACUAACUUAUAGAUUCAAGAAAUUGUUAUCUAGUUUGAAGAUUAUUCAGAACUUAAUGUUUGAACUUCCUCUGCUGGUGACAAAUCUUUGUAAGUAGUUUAAUGAGAUAAAAAGAUGACCUCAAAUCAGUAAAAUUUCUUUCUCACAUAUAAUCUGGUUGAUUGAGCUCUUUUAGGAGGAAGGCAACACUAAUUUAGGGAACUAAAUCCUCAGACUCUCAUUGUUGUCUCCCUAGUUCUGGAGUAUUAGAGUAAAUGAGAAGCACCUGAGAAGCGUCUUCGAGGGCGGAAGAGCAGAGGCCUCCUCGGGACCAGACGGGAAAGAGCCUCUCUCACCCUUCUGAGGAGGGAGCGCAGCAGAGCUUGGAAAGAGAAGCAGUAAGCUGCUGGUCUCAGUGUUUCCCAGAGGAUACGGGCUUUUCUGAGGCACAGAAACAGGUGGUCACACCUCGCUUGAAUAAUAUAAACAGUCUUUGCCUCAGUGGGCUAAGGAAAAACCCAAAGCCUGUUAAAGAUGAGAUGAAACCAAAGAAUGUGAUUUCAAGAUGUAAGAGGAAGUCAACGGGAUCAAAUACACUAAAGAUGUCGAAGAAACAGAGAAACUUCCAUCAGAUUCGAAUCCUCUAAGAAGUGUGGAGAACUUCUCCCCCAAGAGACCAGCUGAGAGAAGAGCUGCCCGGAACACGAGACUUUCUACUUGAUACUUGGAGGAUGUUGGAUCUGAAUCCACUAACAAUCCCAGAGACAAGUGGGAUGAAAGGGUGGAGGACAGGACGACUACUGUCCAUGCGCAAGGUAACUGCCUCAGAUCUCAAGCUCUCAAGCUACCUAUGCAUCCAGCAGGUACACAGAUAGCCUUUCCCUCGUGGCUUCCUUGUGAGUUCCCUAUCAGCACCAGUGACUUAGCUUCUCAGCUGAAAUCCUUCAUAUAUUUUUAUGAGGUUGAGCUUCAGCUGCUUCCUGCCUCCCUGGGAGACUCUUCUAAGACCAGCAGGUAGAUCUGGCUCAGGCUUCUAUCAAAUUACUGCUUUUGCUCUGGAUUCCAGAGCAUGUGAGACUUUGUGCACACACUUUAAGAGUGAAGUCUCUUUCCCCCAGUCCUUUGG